rnacentral:snRNA from 1 species
UUCGAUACAUAAAAUUGGAACAAUACAAAGAUUAGCAUGGCCCGUGAAUGAUGAUGACAAGCAAAUUUGUGAAGCGAUGCAUAUAUUG